ACAAUAAUGGGAUCGUCUAUCUACCGAGCAAUUUCACCUACUCAGUGGAAGAUCUUGCCUUUGUCGU
rnacentral:pre_miRNA from 1 species